UGCAUAUUUCGCGAUGGCGGAACUCGACCGCCCAUUGAAGCGAUGAUUUCCUUCAUCGACGAACACCGGUCGGUGUUCGGGGUCGAGCCGAUCUGCAGGGUGCUGCCGAUUGCCCCG
rfam:Pararhizobium polonicum strain F5.1 contig_22, whole genome shotgun sequence.